UACGUAGGGUGCAAGCGUUAAUCGGAAUUACUGGGCGUAAAGCGUGCGCAGGCGGCUUUGCAAGACAGAUGUGAAAUCCCCGGGCUUAACCUGGGAACUGCAUUUGUGACUGCAUAGCUAGAGUACGGUAGAGGGGGAUGGAAUUCCGCGUGUAGCAGUGAAAUGCGUAGAUAUGCGGAGGAACACCGAUGGCGAAGGCAAUCCCCUGGACCUGUACUGACGCUCAUGCACGAAAGGCGUGGG
rnacentral:rRNA from 1 species